GUGAGCACAACCAAGAGAACAGUUUAUACAAAGACAGCAAUCCAUUGUAAAGAAAAAUCACUUUUCAAGACUCAAGAAUGAAGACCAAUGCAGUGGCCAACCACGUCUCCAGAGACCUAUGAUGAAACAGAACUACUUUCUGACAGGGAGGUUGGGCCUUUUCCAUUUUUGUCUCUGUAUCUCCAUCCCCUGUUAUGGUGCCUGACACAUAGCUUGUUGAUUGACUGAUUCUCCCACCUGGCCACCCUAAAUGGAACUCAUUGCAAACCCAGGCCGACAGCUGGUCAAUCAGAAGCUCCCAUGGAGUAGUGGCAAGAAAACUGAAUUGACAGUUAAAAGACGGAGUUUCCAAUUCCAGAAGGAAAAAAAAGCCUUGAGCUCUGGACCUCUUGGAGAGGGAGAAGUUUUACUCUACAAAGCCUUUAACUUCCUCUCUGGAAACCAAGCAUACCAGGGACCUUACGCCCCAACAGAAUCCAGGACUCUCACCCUUCCCUCCAUACCUUGGCCCCAGGCCAAGCCACUAGGAAAUCC